rnacentral:sRNA from 1 species
CAGGCUUGAGCCACCACACCUGGCCUAGGGUCUGAUUCUCUUUUUGAGAAGCUGCCUCUGGCUGGCGGGUGGAGAGGGAGCUGUGAGGGGGCAGGGAGUUGGCAGGGAACACUAGAGGCCUGGGCUAGGGUAGGGAACUUGGGGUAGGCAGGAAGCGAGGGCCCGGGCCUCGAGGGAAUGCACAGUGGAUGGUUCACUGCCUGCAUCACCCGUUGCUGGGGCUGACCCAGAACUCCAGCUGAGCUGGCUAUUCAGGAAGGGCCCCCAAGCCAGAAAGCUGGAUCAAGCCUUUCCUGAACCCCACCCGGUGAAGGCAGCUGAACCCAGCCUCCCUGAGGAGGGAGAAGGGAAAGCCACAGAGGGCGCAGCUGGUGUUCCCGGGCCCCUGGGAGGCACCGGGAAGGGGUCCUGGCGGCAGAGACCACGUCCCAGCAAGAGCGGCUGCAGGCCAUCGCGGAGAAGCGGAAGCGGCAGGCGGAGAUCGAGAACAAGCGCCGGCAGCUGGAGGACGAGCGGAGGCAGCUGCAGCACCUGAAG